rnacentral:rRNA from 1 species
UACGUAGGGAGCGAGCGUUAUCCGGAAUUAUUGGGUGUAAAGGGUGCGUAGACGGGAAAGCAAGUUAGUUGUGAAAUCCCUCGGCUUAACUGAGGAACUGCAACUAAAACUACUUUUCUUGAGUGCAGGAGAGGUAAGUGGAAUCCCUAGUGUAGCGGUGAAAUGCGUAGAUAUUAGGAGGAACACCAGUGGCGAAGGCGACUUACUGGACUGUAACUGACGUUGAGGCACGAAAGUGUGGGGAGCAAACAGG